rnacentral:lncRNA from 1 species
AAAAAAAACAAAGCAAAACAAAUCAAUGAAUGGAAUGAAAAUGAAGUGACCUAUGCAUAUGCGAGGAAUUUCGAGAACGAAUAUGACCUACACAGUCACAAUGCCUCUAUGUCUCGACGACGAACACAACGUAGGGGAAGAUCAACAAGAAGAUGGUUUGAGGCUUGGAGGAAAAUAAUAUGAUGAACUAUUUGGAGGAACGAAGGCAGAAAUGAAUUGAGAG